AUUGAACGCUGGCGGCAGGCCUAACACAUGCAAGUCGAACGAGUGGCGGACGGGUGAGCAAUGUCUGGGAAACUGCCUGGCGGAGGGGGAUAACUACUGGAAACGGUAGCUAAUACCGCAUACCAUCAGAUGCGCCCAGAUGGGAUUAGCUUGUUGGUGAGGUAACGGCUCACCAGGGCGACGAUCCCUAGCUGGUCUGAGAGGAUGACCAGUCACACUGAGAAUGAGACGCAGUCCAAACUCCUACGGGAGGCAGCAGUGGGGAUUAUUACACAAUGGGCGCGAGCCUGAUGCAGCCAUGCCGCGUGUAUGAAGAAGGCCUUCGGGUUGUAAAGUACUUUAAGCGGGGAGGCGUUACCCGCAGAAGAAGCACCGGCUAACUCCGUGCCAGCCGCCGCGGUAAUAC
rnacentral:rRNA from 1 species